GCACCCGUAGCUCAGCUGGAUAGAGCGUCGCCCUCCGGAGGCGAAGGUCACAGGUUCGAAUCCUGUCGGGUGCG
rnacentral:tRNA from 2 species